GGAUUUCGCGCGUAGUAAAAUAUCGUCCCGUGUUGGAAAGAAUCGGUGGGCCUGCCAAAACCCCCCAUAAUCUCCAUAAUUGACCUCGGAUCAGGUAGGGAUANCCGCUGAACUUAAGCAUAUCAAUAAGCGGAGGAAAAGAAACCAACAGGGAUUGCCUCAGUAACGGCGAGUGAAGCGGCAACAGCUCAAAUUUGAAAUCUGGUCCUUUCAGGGCCCGAGUUGUAAUUUGUAGAGGAUGUUUCGGGUGCGGCGCGGGUCUAAGUCCUUUGGAACAGGGCGUCAUAGAGGGUGAGAAUCCCGUAUGUGACCCGUGAUCAAGCCCAUGUGAAACCCCUUCGACGAGUCGAGUUGUUUGGGAAUGCAGCUCAAAAUGGGUGGUAAAUUUCAUCUAAAGCUAAAUACUGGCCAGAGACCGAUAGCGCACAAGUAGAGUGAUCGAAAGAUGAAAAGCACUUUGGAAAGAGAGUCAAAAAGUACGUGAAAUUGUUGAAAGGGAAGCGCUUGCAACCAGACCUGUCCGCAGGCGAUCAACUCCCGUUCUCGGGGGUGCACUCGUCUGUGAUCAGGCCAGCAUCGGUUCGGGCGGUCGGAUAAAGGCCUUGGGAAUGUAGCUCCUUCCGGGGAGUGUUAUAGCCCUCGGUGCAAUGCGGCCAGCCCGGACCGAGGACCGCGCCUUCGGGCUA
rnacentral:rRNA from 1 species